AGUCGCAAGAGGCGAUCAGGGUCUGCAGAAGGACCGGCUCACAUGGACGACAUAGAAAACAGGGUUCCAGUGUCGAGCACAAGUUAUCAAAAACGCAGAAAGUAGAAGGUGGCGGCUCACAUGAAGGAAUCUUUAUCUCAUUGAAAACAAGACAAACAUUUUUGACUGACUGUUGAAGAGAAACUAUGCAGCUUUUUGAGACGUUUUCUUUUAUAUCUGAUCAUGUUGAAAAUCAUUGGGGUGCAGCUACAGUUAAAUUGUAGCCAAACAAUGUAGAGUUUUCCUUUUACAAUAUGCUGGAUUAGUGUUUUUACUUAAAUGCUGGAAUUGUUGCUUCGUAAAGACGUUGACGUCCUAAAUAAGGACGUGACUAUUCUUUUGAUAAAUGUAAUGCUUUAUUACUUAUCUUUUCACUGCCUUGUAUCGCCACCCAAAGAUUAGAAUAUUUGUGCUCGAGAGCUUUUUUGUCUUUUUUUGUAUCAGAUGUCACACUGAUCACAAACUACAGUUUAAGAAUCACAAUGUGUAGAACUGCAACUGUAAAUAUUUAACUGUUACGUAAGGAUUUUUUUUUUCUGGAGUCAUCAUCUGACUACUUGUAAUAUUAUGAAGUUUUUUACUUUGACUCAUUCAAGCAACUCCUAACCUGUAGCUCAACAUUCUUUGGUAGCAGUAAAUCUAUUCAACCACAAA